GAAGAUUUGAAACCAAGUGGGGACAACGCAGACAGAUUAAUGACAGAUUGUUUGUGUAGUGGAGGAGAAAAUAUUUUACAGAGCAGGACCAUGUGGCUGGGGACUGGAAACAUUUAUGCACUGGGUAGACUUACCGUGUUCUGAUGCAGUCCUCGGAUCAUAAAUCGCUGGUCAUGAGAUUCACCUGAAAAAUUAAGAUGGUGGAGGGUUGUGAAAGAAAGGAAACCAGCUGUAAAGAUCUGGGAAGGAACGUUGGAGCGGCUGGUGCAGACCCAACUGAUGGCAUUCAGGGACAAUAAGCUUGCCUACACCAGCAUCUUCCUGUCCACAUACCGCACAGUCGCCAGCACGCACACCGUGCUGCAGCUGCUGCUAGACAAUUGUUGUUCAAGAAGGUGAUUCCUCACCACUGCCUGGGCUCCAUCUGGUCCCAGAGGGAUAAGAAACAGAACAAGCACAGUGCUCCCACC